ensembl:snRNA Gm25141 predicted gene, 25141
GUGCUCGAUUCAGUAGCACAUAUACUAAAAUUGGAACGAUACCUAGAAGAUUAGCAUGGCCGCUGAGCAAGGAUGACAUGGAAAUCUGUGAAGUGUUCCAUAAUUAA